GGAUUCCCUCAGUAACGGCGAGUGAAGCGGGACUAGCUCAGGAUGUGAUCCGCKCUCUUACGGGGGCGAGUAUGUGGGGGAUUGMGUUGCACCUUCUCUGCCGASCCAAGUUCCUCGCAAAAGGAMMGGGGAAAGGGKGAGACUCCCAUCCGCCUGGUKGAAUGAUUCUUUUUCAACGAGUSGAGUSGUUUGGGAUWGCAGMUUURAUUGGGUGGUAAAUUCCAUCUGGGGCGUAAUUUUGGUGGGAGACCGAUACUGUACAAGCCCYCUGAGGGAAAGAUGCA
rnacentral:rRNA from 1 species